AGAGUUUGAUUCUGGCUCAGGAUGAACGCUAGCGAUAGGCCUAACACAUGCAAGUCGAGGGGCAGCACAUGAAGUAGCAAUACGGAUGGUGGCGACCGGCGCACGGGUGAGUAACGCGUAUGCAACCUGCCUACAACAGGGGAAUAACCCGUUGAAAGACGGACUAAUACCCCAUAACACAGGGAUCCCGCAUGGGAAUAUUUGUUAAAGAUUUAUCGGUUGUAGAUGGGCAUGCGUUCCAUUAGCUUGUUGGUGAGGUAACGGCUCACCAAGGCAACGAUGGAUAGGGGAACUGAGAGGUUUAUCCCCCACACUGGUACUGAGACACGGACCAGACUCCUACGGGAGGCAGCAGUGAGGAAUAUUGGUCAAUGGACGCAAGUCUGAACCAGCCACGUCGCGUGAAGGAAGACGGCCCUACGGGUUGUAAACUUCUUUUGUAAGGGAAUAAAGUGUAGUACGUGUACUAUUUUGCAUGUACCUUACGAAUAAGGAUCGGCUAACUCCGUGCCAGCAGCCGCGGUAAUACGGAGGAUCCGAGCGUUAUCCGGAUUUAUUGGGUUUAAAGGGUGCGCAGGCGGGAGAUUAAGUCGGCGGUGAAAUUUUGCAGCUCAACUGUAAAAGUGCCCUCGAAACUGGUUUCCUUGAGUGUGGAUGAAGUAGGCGGAAUUUGUGGUGUAGCGGUGAAAUGCAUAGAUAUCACGAGGAACUCCGAUUGCGCAGGCAGCUUACUAAACCAUAACUGACGCUCAGGCACGAAGGCGUGGGGAUCAAACAGGAUUAGAUACCCUGGUAGUC
rnacentral:rRNA from 1 species